CACCGCGUAGUGUAAUGGUUAGCACACUCGGCUUAUAACCGAAAAGGCCCGGGUUCGAGUCCCGGGCGCGGCGA